rnacentral:rRNA from 1 species
GAAGCUGGAAUUGCUAGUAAUGGCAGGUCAGCAUACUGCCGUGAAUACGUUCCCGGGCCUUGUACACACCGCCCGUCACACCAUGAGAGUUGGGAAUACCCGAAGCCUGUGAGCUAACAUUUAUGAGGCAGCAGUCGAAGGUAGAAUCAAUGAUUGGGGUGAAGUCGUAACAAGGUAGC